AUAAAAUUUGAACUUACAGGGACGUGAGAGUCUCUGGCACUGCGCUUGGCAUCGGUGGCCGAGAAGACUGUGUAAACAAGAACGAAGGUGCCAAAGAUUUCAGCACCAAGGCCAUCUCCCUUGGUGUAACCACGAGCCACCGAGUUAGCUCCGCCGCCCAAAGCACCGUACCUUGUCUUCCCCAUUAACCCUUUAACCACACCAGCACCACAUAUGGCGCCCAAGCACUGCAUCACCAUGUAGAAAAUCGCCCUUGUCAAGGACAAUUUUCUUCCC